ensembl:lncRNA
ACAGGAUUCAGUUCGGCCAGAUUUCUACAACAUCAGAGGAAGGGAACCUGUUUUCAUUCCUGAUCCUCCAUCUGCCUGUGCCAGACCACAAGGAAUAGAGCCAAUGCACAACACAGGUCUCUUCCAAUGAACAAAUUGGGAAAACUGGAGGCUGGAGGAUGUGGAAAGAAAGCAGUGAAGAUCCCAGCUGGAGAAAAAGUCCUGGAACUGUGGGAAGACCCUGAGGAUCAGCGAGCUGCAUGGAGACAAGUGCUGGAGGAUGAGCAGGAACCUUAGUCACUAGCAUCUGAGAUGAGUGCUUAGGAGCAGCAUUACAGCAUCAC